CACGUAGGGCGCGAGCGUUGUCCGGAAUUAUUGGGCGUAAAGAGCUCGUAGGCGGCCUGUUGCGUCCGCUGUGAAAGCCCGGGGCUUAACCCCGGGUCGGCAGUGGAUACGGGCAGGCUAGAGGUAGGUAGGGGAGAAUGGAGUUCCCGGUGUAGCGGUGAAAUGCGCAGAUAUCGGGAGGAACACCGGUGGCGAAGGCGGUUCUCUGGGCUUUACCUGACGCUGAGGAGCGAAAGCGUGGGGAGCGAACAGG
rnacentral:rRNA from 1 species